rnacentral:piRNA from 1 species
UCUCAUGUCUUUGGUGGGUGCUGGGGAUUU